CCCAGGGAGUGAGUCUCCUUAAAGUCCCAAGGUCGGUGUCCAACAUGUGAAUUUUGAUAAGUUUCUGAAUGCCCCAGCCUCAUUUUGUCAUCCAUUCAAUCCAGCCUUCUGGAUACCAACCUGGCUACUCAGUAGCCCUGAAAACAGAUCCCUGGACCGAAGAUCACGGAGCACAACCACUUUUCUGCAUUAACACUGUUGGAAUGUGACUACUUUGUGUGUUAUUAACUUGCACAUGUAACAUAUACAUUGAAAUCUUUAAAAAUACUACUGCUAUUCACAAGGAUGAGGAUCAGACAUCCUUCAGUGCUGAAGAGAUCGAGGACAGGGGGAUAAUACCCAGCUACAGAAAUUCUGCAUGUAAAAUAGAUGCCACAUCACCAAAAUGAGGCAGGUCCCAAUUUAUGUUUUAGGUCCUCUGGACAGAGCUGAAUCAAAAUCCUGGCUGAUGCAUUAUGGAAUAAAAAGUGUUUUCAACAUGUAAAUCCAAAUUGAGGGACAUUCUGCAAAAUAUCUGAUCUAUAUUCCUCAAUGCUGUCAAGGUCAUCAGAAACAAGGAAAGACUGUGAUACUGUCACAGACCAGUGGAGACUAAAGAGACAUGGCAACCUAAUACAAUCCCAGAAUGGGUCUUAGAACAGAAAGAAAAGGGGGGGGGCAUUCAUAGAAAAAUUGGUGAAAUACAAAUAAAAAAGCUAGAGUUUCAUUAAAAAUGACAGACUAGUGUUGGUUUCUUAGCUUCGAUGACACAUCGUGAUACUUUCAGCUGUUAAUGAUAGUGGACACUAGGUGAGGGGCAUAGAGGUACUCUCUGUACAAUCUUUACAAUUGUUCUAAAAAUUUAAGAUUAUUUCAAAAUUAAAGGUUUGUUUGAACAAAA